AGUUUAUUUUUAAUGUAGGAGUUAAAAUAUUAGGUCUGUUCGACCUUUAAAACUUUACAUGAUCUGAGUUUAAACCGGUGUGAGCCAGGUUGGAUUCUAUCUUUAAUUAAAUUAAAUGUUUUAGUACGAAAGGACCAAGUAUUUGUUAUAAUAAUUUUAUUAGAA
rnacentral:rRNA from 1 species